GCUCAGUUGGUUGAGUGGCCAACUCUUGGUUUCGGCUCAGAUUAUGAUCUCAUGGUCGUGGGAUCAAGCCCCUCACUGAGCU
rnacentral:tRNA from 1 species